AGCAAAAGAGCCUGCGGAAGACUACAUACAUUAAUCAAAAAAUGAAACCAAAAUAACCCACAUCGAGUUGGAUGCAUGAGUCGUAGCUUCCCCCCACCACACCUACUCUCCCUCCCCACCCACCGACUCCAAAUAUCUUCGCAAAAAGAACCAGCUAUGAAAUACAAAGGGUGGUGUACUGACAUGGACACUGUACAGCACACUUCCAAAGACAUGAACACUGCGUACAGAGGCUUCACCAUGCCGACGGGAAGAGAUGGCACGAGGAGGGGUAUGGCUGUUAGAGAACAGUCACAUGACAGGAAGAAGGAAAUGGCCUUUUUCAAAAAACAGUCACAUGACAGAAAAAAAACGAAAAGCACUUGGAAGACGACAACAUGUGACGGAGAAUUAAUUCUGAGGACUAUUGUUAUUUGGUUCUGGUUGUAGAGAGAAGAGAUAUAUAUAUAUAUAUAAAAAUUUAAAGAACGCAUGCAUGGCAUUUUGCACAUGGAACACAACUUUAAAGGGG
ensembl:lncRNA